rnacentral:rRNA from 1 species
GAUGAACGCUGGCGGCGUGCCUAAUACAUGCAAGUCGAGCGAACGGACGAGAAGCUUGCUUCUCUGAUGUUAGCGGCGGACGGGGGAGUAACACGUGGAUAACCUACCUAUAAGACUGGGAUAACUUCGGGAAACCGGAGCUAAUACCGGAUAAUAUUUUGAACCGCAUGGUUCAAACGUGAAAUACGGUCUUGCUGUCACUUAUGGAUGGAUCCGCGCUGCAUUAGCUAGUUGGUAAGGUAACGGCGUACCAAGGCAACGAUGCAUAGCCGACCUGAGAGGGUGAUCGGCCACACUGGAACUGAGACACGGUCCAGACACCUACGGGAGGCAGCAGUAGGGAAUCUUCCGCAAUGGGCGAAAGGCUGACGGAGCAACGCCGCGUGAGUGCUGAAGGUCUUCGGAUCGGAAAACUAUGUUAUUAGGGAAGAACAUAUGUGUAAGUAACUGUGCACAUCUUGACGGUACCUAAUCAGAAAGCCACGGCUAACUACGUG